rnacentral:rRNA from 1 species
UACGUAUGGCGCAAGCGUUAUCCGGAAUGACUGGGUGUAAAGGGAGCGUAGACGGUUGUACAAGUCUGAUGUGAAAGCCCACGGCUCAACUGUGGGAGUGCAUUGGAAACUGUAGAACUAGAGUAUCGGAGAGGCAAGUGGAAUUCCUAGUGUAGCGGUGAAAUGCGUAGAUAUUAGGAGGAACACCAGUGGCGAAGGCGGCUUGCUGGACGAAAACUGACGUUGAGGCUCGAAAGCGUGGGGAGCAAACAGG